AUUGAACGCUGGCGGCAGGCCUAACACAUGCAAGUCGAGCGGAUGAGUGGAGCUUGCUCCAUGAUUCAGCGGCGGACGGGUGAGUAAUGCCUAGGAAUCUGCCUGGUAGUGGGGGACAACGUUUCGAAAGGAACGCUAAUACCGCAUACGUCCUACGGGAGAAAGCAGGGGACCUUCGGGCCUUGCGCUAUCAGAUGAGCCUAGGUCGGAUUAGCUAGUAGGUGAGGUAAUGGCUCACCUAGGCGACGAUCCGUAACUGGUCUGAGAGGAUGAUCAGUCACACUGGAACUGAGACACGGUCCAGACUCCUACGGGAGGCAGCAGUGGGGAAUAUUGGACAAUGGGCGAAAGCCUGAUCCAGCCAUGCCGCGUGUGUGAAGAAGGUCUUCGGAUUGUAAAGCACUUUAAGUUGGGAGGAAGGGCAGUAAGUUAAUACCUUGCUGUUUUGACGUUACCAACAGAAUAAGCACCGGCUAACUUCGUGCCAGCAGCCGCCGUAACAC
rnacentral:rRNA from 1 species